GCCGAUGUAGCUCAGUUGGUAGAGCAAGUGUUUCGUAAACACUAGGUCGUCGGUUCGAGUCCGACCAUCGGCUCCG
rnacentral:tRNA from 2 species